rnacentral:lncRNA from 1 species
GUAGGAGCCUGGGAACUGGAGAACUACCUACCCCAUCCUAAGUCUGCUGGCACCUGACCACAUUUCUCAGGGCCUGAGGUUAGACCAACCCAAGCAGCUGACACCACCACAACCAACACCCAUUCACAUGGGUCCAAAGGUGGAUCCCCCUCCCUGCACUUCACAAAAAGCAACAGUACUGCCACAUUGGAGAACAGAAAGCACUGGAAUUUCUCUUUCUUCAACUAAAUUUCUUCACCUGAAAGAAGGUACUUAUGAUCAGUUGGCAUCAAUGAAGCAUCCUCAAGAAAUGUAAGGAAAUGACAACUGGUUCUCAGGUUGUGUCUACAGGAGGGAAUAAAUGGAGACAAAACAUUCCUCCCCUUGGAACAUCUCAGGACCUCGUCUCAAUGUCUUAGCUCUUACUUGGAAGGCCUCUGUGUUUGUCUCUAACCCCCUAACAACCUAGGACCCUGGUUACAGAAGAUUCUUAAUAGAGUACUGGAAGAAUUCCAGGUAAUAUAUGAAUAUUACUUAGCAAGG